GAGAGAGAGAUGGAAUUCUUGGGUCCCCUCUGGGGACUGGAUUUGUCCAUCUUUUCCCCUGCCUCCCCAUCCUGAAGUUUCCAUGGAAGUCUGCAAUGAAGUUCUCAUUUAACAAGAAAAAGGCGACAGCAGCAGGGAAGCAUUUCCCGGAAUCCAGGAGGAAGCAUGAGUCACUGGCCUGCUAAGUGAGCCCUGCGUGGCCACUACGGCACCAGCCCAGGAGGCCUGGAGCAUAGGGCCAGCCUCCAGGACCGCGCCAGGCUGCCCGCAUAGACAUGCCCACUGCCCGGGCUGACGCAGGCUCCGGGAAUGCAAACAAAGGUGACAUAAGUGCUGCUUUGGAGCCAGAAGCCAGCGUUCUGGGAUCUAGAGGUGAUGGAAGGUGCUGGGCCCAACGUGCACGCUUGGCCCGUGCUGGGUCCAGCAGAGAAGGAGGGCCAAUGGGCAAACUGCCAACCUGAAACCAGAAGCACAACCAGGAUCAGCUCAUCGGGGACAGAAGCCACCAGAACCAGUAACUCUUAGGAUUACUUAAAUGGUAAUUUCUAUACCCUCCCACCGCCCCCCGCCACCCCGCGCCAUGGCAGUCCUAAAAACACAUUUUUAAGGUGUGAUUGACAUACAGUAAGCUGUGGAUAUUUAGCGUAUACGACUUGACGAGCGUGUACCUAAGCGUGCAUCUGUGAAACCAUCAGCAUCGACUACGCCAUGAACAUCGCCGUUAUCUCCAAAGGCUUUCUCCCGUUCUAUUUAUUAAUGAAUUAUAAUUAAUAAUAAUGAAUUAUUAUUAUUGUGUUGUUGCUAUUAGAUGGGGAUUGUGAGGGCCUGAUGGAAGUUGGGUGUGGACUGGACUGCAAGUUACAAACUUGGUCCCCUCCUAGGGACGCCCGGACUUUUAUGGGCUUCACCCCCAGGAGCCCUACCCAGUUCAUACGAUGAAGAUCAGAGAAAAACCCCUUCUGUUUGGAGCAGAAAAAAUAAACACUUUGCAAUAU